AACGAACGCUGGUGGUAUGCUUAACACAUGCAAGUCGAACGGACUCUUGGUGCUUGCACCAAGUAAGUUAGUGGCAAACGGGUGAGUAAUACAUAGGAAUCUACCUAGCAGUAAGGAAUAACCCUGGGAAACCAGAGCUAAUGCCAUAUAUUACCGAUUUAUCGGGAAAGAUUUAUCGCUGUUAGAUGAGCCUGUGCAAGAUUAGCUUGUUGGUAGGGUAAUGGCCUACCAAGGCGAUGAUCUUUAGCUGGUCUGAGAGGAUGAUCAGCCACACUGGGACUGCGACACGGCCCAG
rnacentral:rRNA from 1 species